rnacentral:sRNA from 1 species
CUAAACUCAUGGCACUGACCUGGGAUGGCUUCCCUCUGCACUACUCAGAGCGUCAUGGCUGGGGCUACCUGGUGCCUGGGCGGCGGGACAACCUGGCCAAGCUGCCGACAGGUACCACCCUGGAGUCAGCUGGGGUGGUCUGCCCCUACAGAGCCAUCGAGUCCCUGUACAGGAAGCACUGUCUCGAACAGGGGAAGCAGCAGCUGAUGCCCCAGGAGGCCGGCCUGGCCGAGGAGUUCCUGCUCACUGACAAUAGUGCCAUAUGGCAAACGGUAGAAGAACUGGAUUACUUAGAAGUGGAGGCUGAGGCCAAGAUGGAGAACUUGCGAGCUGCAGUGCCAGGUCAACCCCUAGCUCUGACUGCCCGUGGUGGCCCCAAGGACACCCAGCCCAGCUAUCACCAUGGCAAUGGACCUUACAACGACGUGGACAUCCCUGGCUGCUGGUUUUUCAAGCUGCCUCACAAGCUCUCAGAUGGUGGUGUGGCUGCCCAGGUCAGCUCUGCCCCGUGCUGUGAUCAGGUAUGGUCUGCUGAGUGGUUGUAGGGAUAGGAGAACUGAGGUGAGGUGGUAGGUCCUAAGGCCAAAGCAACCUGCUAAGACUCAUUUCCUUCCCCUGCACCCCACCAGGCACCCCGACUAUGAUGAGGAAGGCCUCUAUGGGGCCAUCCUGCCCCAAGUGGUGACUGCCGGCACCAUUACUCGCCGG